rnacentral:rRNA from 1 species
UACGUAGGGUGCAAGCGUUGUCCGGAAUCACUGGGCGUAAAGCGCACGUAGGCGGCUUUUUAAGUCAGGGGUGAAAUCCUGGAGCUCAACUCCAGAACUGCCUUUGAUACUGAGGAUCUUGAGUUCGGGAGAGGUGAGUGGAACUGCGAGUGUAGAGGUGAAAUUCGUAGAUAUUCGCAAGAACACCAGUGGCGAAGGCGGCUCACUGGCCCGAUACUGACGCUGAGGCACGAAAGCGUGGGGAGCAAACAGG